GACAGAGGGUGCAAACGUUGUUCGGAAUUACUGGGCGUAAAGCGCGUGUAGGCGGCUAUGCAAGUCGGGCGUGAAAUCCCACGGCUCAACCGUGGAAGUGCACUCGAAACUGCGUAGCUAGAGUCCUGGAGAGGAAGGUGGAAUGCUUGGUGUAGAGGUGAAAUUCGUAGAUAUCGGGAGGAACACCAGCGGCGAAGGCGGCCACCUGGACGGUGACUGACGCUGAGACGCGAAAGCGUGGGGAGCAAACAGG
rnacentral:rRNA from 1 species